rnacentral:rRNA from 1 species
UUGGAGGGCAAGUCUGGUGCCAGCAGCCGCGGUAAUUCCAGCUCCAAUAGCGUAUAUUAAAGUUGUUGCAGUUAAAAAGCUCGUAGUUGAAUUUCGGGGUCAGUAGGUUGGUCAUGCCACUGGUAUGUACUGGUCUCACUGAUUCCUCCUUCCUGAUGAGCCGUAAUGCCAUUAAUUUGGUGUUGCGAGGAAUCUGGACUGUUACUUUGAAAAAAUUAGAGUGUUUAAAGCAAGCUAACGCUUGAAUACAUUAGCAUGGAAUAAUGAAAUAGGACGUUCGAUCCUAUUUUGUUGGUUUCUAGGAUUGACGUAAUGAUUAAUAGGGAUAGUUGGGGGCAUUAGUAUUCAAUUGUCAGAGGUGAAGUUCUUGGAUUUAUUGAAGACUAACUACUGCGAAAGCAUUUGCCAAGGAUGUUUUCAUUAAUCAAGAACGAAAGUUAGGGGAUCGAAGACGAUCAGAUACCGUCGUAGUCUUAACCAUAAACUAUGCCGACUAGGGAUCGGAUGAUGUUAAUUUUUUAAUGACUCAUUCGGCGCCUUACGGGAAAC